GACAACCCCAGGGCACAGACCACAGUCUCUGUGAGCUCUGACAUAGGGGCUGGAAUCUCAGGCUCUGUGGAAGUGAAGUUGUUGAGUGUGCUUGUCUGAGGAUGCCAGAGCAGAAUGGCAGCCAUGCAGUACGACUCCAGCCAAAUGAGCCAAACUGGACUUUUUUGUCAAGACAUGUGUAAGCCUUUUACCAUCGUAUCUUUCCUUCCUUCCCCACUUUCUGAGCAUCCACAAGUGUCAGACAUAGCCGGAGAUGUGUAAAACACCAAUCAGGCAUGGUCUACUAUUAAGGAACAAACUGAAUAGUGGAAGAGUCAGGUAGGUAAGGGAACAGAUACAAUGUACUGUAGUAAGUUCUCUGAGGAGGAUAUCGACAGCCUUACAGUCCAACAUCCUUCAAAAGUAUCUGCCAAGCAAGACAAACUACAUUAUCCUUUCAUGUUCCCUGGUCUUUGCAGUGGUCUGUUGUUUUUCUCCCUGAAAUGGAAUUAUCUUUUAGGACUUCCUGGAGAAAUUCUAAAAUCCAUCCUUGAGGUUUCUGCUUAAGUUAACAACUUUGUAGCUGAGUCCUCUCAUCAACAUGUUUUUGACCACAUUAUGACCUCCAACCCCUCCGUCUCAACAUCUGGCUGUCCAAGUUGUCUGUUCCUCUUCCAGCUCACCUUCUUCCCUAUCCAGCAUGACUGCCCUGGUUGGUCUUAACAGGUCACCAACAAAGCCUCCUUAUCCUUGCCAUAAAUCUUGACUCCUUGUUCAAACAUGAAUAUAUGUGGAAUACAUGCAGUCUUUCUUUUCUUCUGGUACUUGUCUUGGGUGCCAAAUUUUGCUAGAGGACGUCACCCUGCUGGCCCACCUGGAACCAAGUCACUUGUAUUGUUUCAGCCUCUGCUGGGUCCACUGCCCUGCUCAGCAAUGGCCUUCUGCUUUCCUGCACCCCAUACUGUUUCCAUCACUAAUCUGAGCACCCUCUGCAGGGAAGACAGCAUGACUUUUCAUCUUUGAAUCCUUAAAACUUAGCUCACUGUGUGCUCAAACAUGUGUAUUGAAUGACAGUUGCUAUAUUCGAGGACCACAUAGAUUUUGGGGAAGACGGGCAGGCACACAGGUAGCAGAACCAUACGAAGGCCAGGAUCAGUCAUGACCAAGGCUGCAUUCUGACAUGUGAGCCCCGAGCAUUCUUGCUUGUAUGGGCCUCUUCCUCCACAAAAAUAUGGAAAAUUAUAUUUUAUGACUGAAUUGGUAUAAAGACAAUAUAAUCUAGGCUGAAUUAAAAGUUAAAACAUUUUCUUAGGCUCUAAUAUUCCAUUAUUUUUCUAAUUUUAAAAGGAGUUAAAACCUUCUCAUGUGGCUUUACAGUAUGGAGGGUCCCCUGCACUGCCCACAUUGUGCCUAAUGAAUGAGCCAAGCCUGACCAGGGCACUCUGGUGUGAGGUUGAAGAAAGGAAAUUUGGAACAAAGACGCCAAGCGCUCUGGAGAAGCAGGUGAAACUUCCACUGCCGAACAAAAUCAUAAUGGGAGCAGCCACGGUUAAUAAAGUUGUGAAAGUUUAAAGUACCUUCCAGUUCACUUCCCCUUUUAACUAUCUGACUUUUCAACUUUUGUUUUACAAACCCACUGUCCAUCUCUAUAAAGGAGCAGGGAGUCAGAGAUGGAUCCUGAAAGGGAAGAGGGAGAAAGGGAUGCAUGAAGAGAGGUGGAAAGAGAUGGACGACAAAGGCAGAGGAGAGUAAGAGACCAAAUAAUUAAUCUGUGCUUCCUUUCUUCCUUCCUUCCUCUUUCUUUCUGUCUUUCUUUUUCCCUUCCUUCCUCCCUUCCCUUUUCUUUUCUUUUCCUUCCUUCCUUCCUUCUCCUUCCUUCCUUCCUUCCUCGCUUUCUUUCCUCUUUCUUUUUGAGACAGCGCCUCUCUCUGUUGCCCUGGCUGGAGUGUAGUGGUGCCACCAUGGCUCACUGCAGCUUCCGCCUCAUGGACUCAAGUGGUCCUCCCACGGCAGCCUUCUGAGUAGCUGGCACCACAGGCACACACCACCAUGCCUGGCUAAUUUUUAUUUUUCUUUUUUUGUAGAGAUGAGGUCUUGCUAUGUUGCCCAGGCUGGUCUCAAGCUCCCAGGCUCAAAUGAUCCUCCUGCCUCGGCCUCCCAAAGUGCUGGGAUUACAGGCAUGAGCCACCUUGUCUGGCCCACUUUUCUUUUUAUAGGACUUUAUUAGAUGAGGUGAAGAACAGGUAAUUUGGGUUGAUAAUUUGAGAAUAAAAUGAUUUAUUUUACCAAUUUUUUCUACUUCUCAAUUUUAAAAUAAAAUGAUCCCUUAUUUUGCUAAAGAAAAGAAAUGUGAAGCUAUAUCUGUAAUAGAAAUAUGUAAAAAAAAUUGACAUUCAUGUUUUCACUAUUUACAAAGCUUAGCCACAUGCCCAUUUUAUUUGAUUACUUGUGAGGUGACACAUAUGAGGCAGCUGAGAGUAAGUGAGGACCAUGUGGUAAAAUGAUUGUUGAAGGCAUUCAGCCUGCUGGACUCCUUUACCCACUCCCCACCUGUGCCAGUUCCCAUGUGGAAAUGUGAGUAAGUCUGAGAGAAAGAAACGGGCAACAUUUUAAAUAUCUAUAGAGUACAUAAUUGAUGGAAUGACCCCAAGAUCUACCACCGGAGACAUCCGAAAAGCUUCAAAAGUUGUUCAGGGAAAUUUGAGAAUGACACUUCAUAAAUUUUUAAUAAUAAAAAAUUAUCCACUGAUGGAAACCUCACUAAUUUUUGAGGCAAUCAUGAUGGAACGACAUAGAGACCUCCAGGCCGUAGUCACUGAAUAUAAUAUAAACAGAAUAGCGUCCUUAGUGAACACAACAGCAUAGAUAACAAAAAGAGUAGGUUGGGGCUCUGGUUUCCUGAAGGAGGAACAGCUAUAAUUUUUAAUUGUCUUAAUACUGAAAGGGCCCUUAGGAAAUCUCUACAGUUUCUCUGCAAAUCGCUUUAUCUCUUUUCCUUCAAUUUACUGUUUUUCAGCUCCAGAGAACAUCCCUCACUCAUGCACUCACCCACAAUGUCUUCACCUCCACAGGGGCUCAUCACGGUGGUCAGAGCGAGGGCCCCCAGCAGCAGAGCUUUGUUUAGGAUCAUCCUCUUCCCAAGGCAGCCUCAGCAGUUGGUGUUCUGAGCUGUAGAGUAAUUGUGAGGACCUCAAGACAAGGAAAUCUGAAGACACCCAAACCAAACCCUGCCAAGUCAGGUUUUGGCCAAUUAGAAAAAUCCCCUAUGGUGACAUCUCAGUUACUAGUUGAAGAGUUUGUAUUAAGAGCCCUGGAAGGAGACGGGGCAAUCCCCUUGUGAUGCAGCCUCUACUCAGAGUGGACUUGAGGAAUUGUUCUAUGAAUAAAGGGAGGACAUUAAA
rnacentral:lncRNA from 1 species